rnacentral:rRNA from 1 species
UACGGAGGAUGCGAGCGUUAUCCGGAUUUAUUGGGUUUAAAGGGUGCGCAGGUUGUUUGAUAAGUCAGUGGUGAAAGUCUGUCGCUUAACGGUAGGAUUGCCAUUGAUACUGUUGGACUUGAAUAUGGAUGAGGUAGGCGGAAUGUGUAGUGUAGCGGUGAAAUGCAUAGAUAUUACACAGAACACCGAUUGCGAAGGCAGCUUACUAAUCCAUCAUUGACGCUGAGGCACGAAAGCGUGGGGAUCAAACA